rnacentral:rRNA from 1 species
UUACGGAAGGCAGCAGCUAAGAAUCUUCCGCAAUGGACGAAAGUCUGACGGAGCGACGCCGCGUGGGUGAUGAAGGCGGAAACGUUGUAAAGCCCUUUUAUAGGCGAGGAAUAAGAUCCGGAGGGAAUGCCGGGUCGAUGACGGUAGCCUGUGAAUAAGCCCCGGCUAAUUACGUGCCAGCAGCCGCGGUAACACGUAUGGGGCGAGCGUUGUUCGGAAUUAUUGGGCGUAAAGGGUGCGCAGGCGGUUCAACAAGUCUGGUGUUAAAUCCCGCAGCUUAACUGCGGACAGGCAUUGGAAACUGUUGGACUAGAGUUCUGGAGGGGUAGCUGGAAUUCCAGGUGUAGGGGUGAAAUCUGUAGAUAUCUGGAAGAACAUCAAUGGCGAAGGCAAGCUACUGGCCAUGAACUGACGCUGAGGCACGAAAGUAUGGGGAGCAAACAGGAUUAGAUACCCCUGUAGUCCG